rnacentral:rRNA from 1 species
AAUGAACGCUGGCGGCGUGCAUAACACAUGCAAGUCGAACGAGAAACCCUGGGCUUGCUCGGGGGAGUAAAGUGGCGCACGGGUGAGUAACACGUGGGUAACCUACCUCUGAAUCUGGAAUAACUUCGCGAAAGCGUUGCUAAUACCGGAUAUUGUCCCUUGAUCUGCGGUUCUUGGGAUGAAAGGUGACCUCUUCUUGAAAGUUGCCGUUCGGGGAUGGGCCCGCGUACCAUUAGCUAGUUGGUAGGGUAAUAGCCUACCAAGGCGAGGACGGUUAGCUGGUCUGAGAGGAUGACCAGCCACACUGGCACUGAAACACGGGCCAGACUCCUACGGGAGGCAGCAGUGAGGAAUCUUGCGCAAUGGGGGAAACCCUGACGCAGCAACGCCGCGUGAGCGAAGAAGGCCUUCGGGUCGUAAAGCUCUGUCUAGUGGGAAAAAAGUCCUGGUGUAAAUAGCUCCAGGAUCUGA